rnacentral:rRNA from 1 species
AUGCUGCGAUGCAGCGUUUGCGCAGAGGCCCGGAGCUCGGCGCCGCAAGGAAGCUUGACCGGUAGGUGCAAUGGAGCUUCACCGGCGGCACCCGAAGCUGCGAUGAAACUUCACCAGCGCCACAAUGGAGCUUCACCGGUAAGCCAGGAGCUGCGAUGCAGCGGGCAGUGCUGCAAUGGAGCCCCGCCGCGGCUGGGGCUGCAACGGAGCUUCGCCGGAACACCGCGCGCCGGUGGCUGCAAUGGAGAGCGUCGUCUGCAAUGGAGCUCCGUCACGGUUGCAAUGGAGCUUCGCCGGGAUGCCGACGGUGCAGCGUGGAGCUUUUUUUCGCGCCACCGUGCUGCCAUGGAGCUGCAGUGGAGCUUCCCCGGGGGUCGUAGGUGUUCCAUUGAAGCUUUGUUUUCCAUCGGCUCCGGUGUUGCUGCGUUGGUGCUCCGCCGGUGGCUCCGGUGCUGCUGCGUUGGAGCUCUGCCGAUGGCUCCGGUGGUGUGA